UGCGUACCUUUUGUAUAAUGGGUCAGCGACUUAUAUUCUGUAGCAAGGUUAACCGUAUAGGGGAGCCGGAGGGAAACCGAGUCUUAAUUGGGCGUUAAGUUGCAGGGUAUAGACCCGAAACCCGGUGAUCUAGCCAUGGGCAGGUUGAAGGUUGGGUAACACUAACUGGAGGACCGAACCGACUAAUGUUGAAAAAUUAGCGGAUGACCUGUGGCUGGGGGUGAAAGGCCAAUCAAACCGGGAGAUAGCUGGUUCUCCCCGAAAGCUAUUUAGGUAGCGCCUCGUGAAUUCAUCUCCGGGGGUAGAGCACUGUUUCGGCUAGGGGGCCAUCCCGGCUUACCAACCCGAUGCAAACUGCGAAUACCGGAGAAUGUUAUCACGGGAGACACACGGCGGGUGCUAACGUCCGUCGUGAAGAGGGAAACAACCCAGACCGCCAGCUAAGGUCCCAAAGUCAUGGUUAAGUGGGAAACGAUGUGGGAAGGCCCAGACAGCCAGGAUGUUGGCUUAGAAGCAGCCAUCAUUUAAAGAAAGCGUAAUAGCUCACUGGUCGAGUCGGCCUGCGCGGAAGAUGUAACGGGGCUAAACCAUGCACCGAAGCUGCGGCAGCGAACGUAUCACCCAAGACAACUUUACGGAGUUGACGAUUGACGGAGCGAAGCGACGUCAAAGCGUUCAUUAAAGUCGAGUUGGCUUAGGGAUACGUUCGUUGGGUAGGGGAGCGUUCUGUAAGCCUGUGAAGGUGUGUCGUGAGGCAUGCUGGAGGUAUCAGAAGUGCGAAUGCUGACAUAAGUAACGAUAAAGCGGGUGAAAAGCCCGCUCGCCGGAAGACCAAGGGUUCCUGUCCAACGUUAAUCGGGGCAGGGUGAGUCGACCCCUAAGGCGAGGCCGAAAGGCGUAGUCGAUGGGAAACGGGUUAAUAUUCCCGUACUUGGUGUUACUGCGAAGGGGGGACGGAGAAGGCUAUGUUGGCCGGGCGACGGUUGUCCCGGUUUAAGCGUGUAGGUGUGUGUUCCAGGUAAAUCCGGUUCACUUUAACACUGAGGCGUGACGACGAGGCACUACGGUGCUGAAGCAACAAAUGCCCUGCUUCCAGGAAAAGCCUCUAAGCAUCAGGUAACACGAAAUCGUACCCCAAACCGACACAGGUGGUCAGGUAGAGAAUACCAAGGCGCUUGAGAGAACUCGGGUGAAGGAACUAGGCAAAAUGGUGCCGUAACUUCGGGAGAAGGCACGCUGACACGUAGGUGAAGUGAUUUACUCAUGGAGCUGAAGUCAGUCGAAGAUACCAGCUGGCUGCAACUGUUUAUUAAAAACACAGCACUGUGCAAACACGAAAGUGGACGUAUACGGUGUGACGCCUGCCCGGUGCCGGAA
rnacentral:rRNA from 1 species